rnacentral:rRNA from 1 species
AGUGAACGCUGGCGGUAGGCCUAACACAUGCAAGUCGAACGGCAGCACAGUAAGAGCUUGCUCUUACGGGUGGCGAGUGGCGGACGGGUGAGGAAUACAUCGGAAUCUACUUUUUCGUGGGGGAUAACGUAGGGAAACUUACGCUAAUACCGCAUACGACCUACGGGUGAAAGCAGGGGAUCUUCGGACCUUGCGCGAUUGAAUGAGCCGAUGUCGGAUUAGCUAGUUGGCGGGGUAAAGGCCCACCAAGGCGACGAUCCGUAGCUGGUCUGAGAGGAUGAUCAGCCACACUGGAACUGAGACAGGGUCCAGACUCCUACGGGAGGCAGCAGUGGGGAAUAGUGGACAAUGGGCGCAAGCCUGAUCCAACCAUACCGAGUGGGUGAAGAAGGCCUUCGGGUUGUAAAGCCCUUUUGUGGGGAAAGAAAAGCAGCAGGUUAAUACCCAGCUGUUCUGACGGUACCCAAAGAAUAAGCACCGGCUAACUUCGUG